AGCCAGGCCGCUUCUCUCGGCCCCUUCCCUUUCAAGGAAGAGGUCAUGGGUUCGAAUCCCAUCCGGGCUA
rnacentral:tRNA from 1 species